UCCCUGGUGGUCUUGUGGCUAAGACUCCACACUCCCAAUACAGGUGGCCCAGGUUCGAUCCCUAGUCAGGGAA
rfam:Ovis aries breed Texel chromosome 2, whole genome shotgun sequence.